rnacentral:rRNA from 1 species
CCCUUAGAUGUUCUGGGCCGCACGCGCGCUACACUGACGAAUGCAACGAGCUUAUAACCUUGGCCGAAAGGUCUGGGUAAUCUCCAAAUUUCGUCGUGAUGGGGAUAGAUUAUUGCAAUUAUCCUUCAUGAACGAGGAAUUCCCAGUAAGUGCAAGUCAUAAGCUUGCGCUGACUACGUCCCUGCCCUUUGUACACACCGCCCGUCGCUACUACCGAUUGAAUGAUUUAGUGAGGACUUCGGACUGGGACCGAUGCGGCUUUCGGGCUGCGUCGGUAUUCUGGAAAGAUGUCCAAACUGUAUCAUUUAGAGGAAGUAAAAGUCGUAACA